AAUCAACGCUGGCGGCGUGCCUCAGACAUGCAAGUCGAACGAUUAAAGCUCUCUUCGGAGAGUGUAUAGAGUGGCGCACGGGUGAGUAACACGUAAGUAAUCUACCUUUGAGUGGGGAAUAACAUCGGGAAACCGAUGCUAAUACCGCAUAAUGCAGCGGCAUCGCAAGAUGACAGUUGUUAAAGAUUUAUCGCUUGAAGAGGAGCUUGCGGCAGAUUAGCUAGUUGGUAAGGUAAUGGCUUACCAAGGCUACGAUCUGUAACCGGUCUAAGAGGACGGUCGGUCACACUGACACUGAAUAACGGGUCAGACUCCUACGGGAGGCAGCAGUCGGGAAUUUUGGGCAAUGGGCGAAAGCCUGACCCAGCAACGCCGCGUGAAGGAUGAAGUAUUUCGGUAUGUAAACUUCGAAAGAAUGGGAAGAAUAAAUGACGGUACCAUUUAUAAGGUCCGGCUAACUACGUGCCAGCCGCCG
rnacentral:rRNA from 1 species